rnacentral:miRNA from 2 species
UGAGGUAGUACGUUGUAUUGUU